UGCUUAGAGGACUAGGAGAGGGGCCGCCGUCUGCUGCUGGCUGGAGCCUGGGCGCCGGCUCCGUCUGGUUGGUGGUGGCCGACGGAGCGGUAGGAGGGCGGCCGGCAGCGGGAGCUUCUCUUGCCGGGCAGGAGGAAGAGUAGAAGAGAGAGGCACCCACGCAUGCUGGAGGCUGGAGCCUGCGCCACGGCGGCUCGCCUCGCUGCGAUUGGUGGUGAAGUCGGACGCUGCACCUCGGCCAGAGUGGUGGAGAUGUCGUUGGGUUCAUCCAUAUGGCUCCAAAUGAAAAUUACAUUACUUUGUUAUGGAUGAAGAGUAUUGCGUUGUGCAGAUAUACUGCAGUUUCCUCAUCCCCUCAUCUGUGGGUGGACAGGUUCCACAGUGUUGCCACGGAUGACCUGAUUUCAGUACCCAUGUCUGGCUGAAGAGUAUCUGGUUGUGACUGGAUACUGCAGUUUCUGGAUCUCAUCCUCUGUGGGUGGACAGGAUAGUAGAGAGCAGUUUACAGCCUGAGACCCAUCACUAGGUUUCUCCAUCUUGCUGGUAGUGAACUGAUGUCCGGAAGUUUGAUGGCUGAAGAGUGUACCAUUGCGUAUAUAUCCUUCAAUUCCUGCAUUUUUUCAUCUGUAGAAAGACAAGUAGGUUGAUUCCCCACCUUGGUUAUUGUCCAGAGUACUUCAUGAAACAUGGGAAGGGAGAUACCUCCUUAAGGUAGGUUUCCUUGGCUUUGCAGGUAUACCCAGUGUUGGGAUGGCUAGAGGAACUGGUGGUUGUGUCGUUAAUUGUUUCAGAAACCUCCAGCUGUCUCACAGUGGGUAUACGAAUUUGCAUUCAAAAUAGUAGUAUGUAAUAGUUCCUCUGUUUGCAAAUCUGCACUGCCCUUAUCUUCAAAAAGUUUUAUUGCUGUUUCUGGUCAUACUCCUUCUCUGGGGAGAAACUCUCCUGAUGUGGAGAGACUUUUCUAUUACCUGAGAGUCUGUUUCAGGUUUUUUCAGAAAUGCCUCUGCCAGUCUUUUGGGCAUUUUUAGCAUGUGUAUUGGUUUUUGUGUUUUUGUCCACUUAGGACCAUUAGUUUCUUGAAUAUGUUAGAUAAGAAGCCCUUCUAGAUCCACAGUUUUCCAUAAUUUUCUCUCAGUCUGUGGGAUGUCUUCUGUAGGGUUCACUGUUUUCUCUCCAGUGUUGAAGCUGUGUGAAGCUCUGAAGUUGUCCUUAGUCUCACAUGGACACAUUAACUUUUCUUAGCGGUGAUUUCUGUGUCCCUUUGAGAAGAAAAGCGAGAUGAUGAAGGCAUUGUAUGGUCUAUGGGUAUUUGAGUCCUGUGUGUUUUCUGUUUGUAGUUUAGGUGCACAGGUUUAAGUUUCCCCACAGUAGACACACACCCUAUGUGUUUUCCUUGGAGGUUUUGGUUUCACAAUUGCCCUUUGGUAUUCAGUGGAUUUUGUAUCGCUUUUUGUGUCUUGUGUAAGGGAAGGGUUUAUUUCAGUCCUUUGCACGUGACCCCCCAGUUUCUUCAACCAUUGUGCCUUUGGUGUGCUUUUGGGGGAAAAGCAAGAAUCCCAUGGGUUCAGUGUUUAUAAUUGUGGGUUGAUUAUUUGGCUCCUUCGUUGUGUCCAUUUGGUUAUCUUUCAGUGUUCAUGCCGCUAAUGGAUGGAUUGGGCCACUGUAGGCUUUUUUUGUUUUGUGUGUUUUCUUGUAUUUUCUUCCUUUUUUUCUAUUUCUGUUUCCAAAGCUGGGUUUUCUAAAAUGAUAGCUACUUUUAUUGUGAUCGAGGGGUGUACGCCUGCAGGUUCAUUUCACUACAUGGCUAUACAGCAGACUUUUGAUGCUUGAGGUUCUAACAUACCCAUCACCCAGGUGGUGAACACAGCACCUGUUGGAUCAUUCUUCCUCCAAGGCUUCCUGUCUCCCUCCUUUAUUUGUCUGGUAGUACCCAGCAUCUGUUGAUUUCAUCUUUAUGUUCGUGUGUAUUCAGUGUUGAGUUUCUGCCUAUAAGUGAAAACUUGCGGUGUUCGGUCUUUUGUUCUUGCCUGAGUUCGCUUAGCAGAGUGGCCUGCAGUUCCAUCUAUGUUGCUGCUGAGGGCAUGAUUUUGUUUCUGUGUUUGAUUUUCCUUGGUGGCUUCUUAGUAUUCUGUGGUGCAUAGGUAUCACAUCUGAUUUUCUGUUGGUGGGCAUCUAGGUCAGGUCCACGUCUUUAUUCCUGUGAGUAGCACUCCUGUGAACUUGCAAAUGUCUGUGUCUUUUUGAUAGACACAUGUAUUUUUCCCUUGGGUAGAUAAAACCAAAGAUCGUAUUGGAUUGCUGGGUCAAAGCAAUCCAAAGAGGGUUGGAUUGCUGGGUGGAAGGGUAGCUCUGCUUGCUUUCCCUCUUUGUUGUUGUUGUUGAGAAAUCUUGAAACUGCUCUCCGCAGUUUGAGACCUAGUUUGCAUUACCCCAAGAGUGUAGCCGUGUUCGCUUUUAUCUACUGCUACACAAAUAUGUUUUGUGUUUGGACAAAUGGCCAUUCUGACUGGUGUGUGAUGGCACUGGUACCUCAUCUCUGAUGAUUAGUGAUGUUGAGCAUUUUCUCGUGUCUGUUGGUCUUUUUUAGGUCUUGUUUUGACUAGUGUGUUUGUGUCAUUUGCCCAUUUUUUACUUGGGUUAUUUUUCUGCUUCUUGAUUUAGGUAAGGUCCUCUAGAUUCUGGCUCUUCAAACUUGGUCAGAUGCUUGGUUUGGGAACAUUUUCUCCCAUCAUGUAGGCUGUGUGUUUACUGUGUUGGCAGUUGCUUUGCUGUGCAGCAGGUCUGUAGUUUCUUAGGCCAGACUUGUACUUUUGGUUUUUUGUUGCAUUUCUUUUGGGUACUAAUUGUCUAAGUGGUUUGCAAAAGCCUAUGUUGAGAAAGGUGUUUGAUAGGUUGUCUCUUAGGACUUUUAUAUUUGAAGUCUUCUAUUUCAAUCUUUGGUUGAUCUUGAGUUAAUUUUCCAUAUGAUGAGAAGCAGGGCCGCAGUGUUAAUUCUUCUGCACAUGGCUAGUCAUGUAUCCCAGUGCCAUUCGUCGCAUAGUGAGCCUUUUCUUUAUUUCUUAUUUCUGUGGUUUUGUCAAAGGUCAGAUGGUUGUAGUUCUGCCAGGCUACUUCUGCAUUUUCUAACUUGUCUAGGUGAAAGCUAGGUCAUUUCUUUCUGUUAUGAUCUAUUCUGAUUUCUUGGGUUCAAGAACUGAUAAAUUAAUUUUAGAAACUGAAGAAUCCACUUACAUUCUCAGGGUUAGAAACCAUCACCAUCACCCUAUUCUGUGAUGUUAUGGACUUUAUUGAGUUACAUCUUUGCCCUUUUCCUUCAAGUCUCUCCUCUGGAUUUAUUUUGUGAAAUUAGAUUCUGAAUCACAUUUUGUUGCAUAAACUGUGCUUGAGCAAAAAAAAGUUUGUUUUUUCUAAAAACAUCCUUAGUAUGCAUGGGGUGAAGAACAACAAACAUGUCUCCUGUUUCUACUAGUCACACCAUUACACUCCUUUCCAGCCUCUUUGAUGCUACAUAUGGCCAUUCAAAUGAGCCCUGGCUAAGUACAUGUGGAUAGAAGUUAGUGUUUGCUUCUUGCAAGCCUGGCCCGUGAUUCUAUGUUCUGAUUUAGAACAUAAAAAAGAAGUGAGACUUGCUGAAUGAGACAGAAGCACUCUUGAACGCUUCCUCUGACAAGCUCCAAGGCACACUAGUUGCCUUGCACUGCUUUGGACAGCUACUCAUUUGUUGGACAAUAAUUUCCCAACAUGGGGACAACCCAGAGCAUUUUCCACGUUGAUAUUCUGCUUCAAUUGCUCAUAGUUUUGAUCAAAGCUAGACAGUGACUAAUCCAGGAGACUCAGACCCCAGGCCAUCGUGGAGUCCUGUGGUUGAAGACAGGCUGGACCAUCAGAGGAAGAAAACAAGUAGGCCUUUUUUCUGGAUUUUCACCUGCUCUCUUUUCAGGAAACCUGAAGCCAGUUAAUGUUAUUCAGGCAUGACUGAAAAGAGAUUAUUUUGAGUUGUUUUGGUGGCACCAAGAAAUGUGCCAAUGUGACAGCCAAAAAAGCAGAAAGACCAAGGCAUUGAGAGUGUGAGAGCCACUGAUGAUGCUGGGUCUGGUAGGCUUUUGGAGAUCUCCCAGCCCCAAAACAGCCAAGCAACUCUGUCCUGGGUUGUGAGUGGGCUAACCCCCCUUGCACACCCAUGCUUGGAUUCUGGCACACAUGGCACCCACAGGAGGCAGUGCCCCCUCCGGGAGACCGGUUGGCAGGACCCUGUCUCCACACGUGAAGACAGCAGGCAGAACCCACACAUUCUCUACUUCUCCCAGUGCCAGUUGCCCGUGAGGGUUCACGAUGAGACCGACGGGUCCAACCUGCAGGCAGAGUUGCCACCCCAGCCUGUGGCAAAGUGGACCUUUUUCUGCCAGAGGGGUCUGCUUUCCCAUUGGCCAAAAAGGCCUCAAAUGACAGGGACAGAACAAGGCACAAGUGCCCAUUAGAGUGUCUGAGCCCACAUUCAGAGGUGGGUAGCACAGCUGCCCUGUGCAGGCCUCAGAAAGGAAAAGGAGAAAGAUGACAAAAGCAAGACACAAGAAAUGCAGCAAAAGCACACUAACACACACACUUGACACUCAUCUGGGGCAGGCCAUCCUCUCACUCAUCACCAGCAGUGCAGGCAGCCAAGAGCCGGGCAGGAGGCGGUGCCACCAUCCCCUGAGUUAGGGUCUGGAUCCAGGGAAGAACAUAGAGUCAACGGCCACUGACCUCAGGACCUGCAGUUUGCAGGGAGGGGAUGCUGUAAGAAGAACUGUUCCAGGUCACAGCUAAACAUGUCU